GUAAUGUUCCAUGGCCAGUUCUACUUGGAAUUAGAAGAAGUUUUUUCCAUAACUGCUGGUUUUCUACAGGCGAUGAAUAGAUAGGAAUGCGAUGGUUGCAGAAUCAUUCGAAUCUUGCAUGGUGUUUUAUGAUGUACCUUCCUCAAUAAUCUACUGGGCAUUGGCGUUGGGUAGGGGAAGGGUGGUGUCAGAAGAAAGAUAGGUCUUUAGGAUUGAAGGCAGGUGGGGUUGACAUUUAGAUAGUCAAUAAGCCUGUUUACCUUUAGUUUCAGUUCUUUAGUUUUUCUCUAGUUUCCUUUAAUCUGAAGGGGGUCUAUUCUUUAUACUUUAUAGUGGGUGAUGAUGGGUUUCUUGACCGGUGGCUCUGUCAGUUGCACGUAGUUAUAGUUGAGCGAUAUAAGUGGAGUUUACUGUCUUUUCAAAAGAUCUGCAAGGAGACAAAUAAGAUGGACCGGAAUCUCAAUUCAAGGGAAUGUUCCACCAUCAUUCAUUUCGGUCGGAUUCCAUUAAGCUUCAGGAAGGCUCCUAUUUCUUGUUGGGACAUUUGUUCCUUUCAGCCUAUGGAAAAUUUAUGUGGAGGACGAGGCCAAGUUGGACCCUUCAUGGUUCUGUUCAGGAUUGCUUUGGCCAGUCCGUUUCUGGUAGUGCUUAGGUCACAUAUUUGAACUUACCUGUUUUUACCCUACCUCAGCACUCAUC
rnacentral:lncRNA from 1 species